UUUUUUAAUUGAAAGCUUGUAUGAAUGGUUGAAUGAGAUAUUUACUGUUUCAAAAAAAUUUUUAUAUAAAUUUAUUUUUUAGUAAAAAAGCUUAAAUAUAUUUAAAGGACGAGAAGACCCUAUAAAGUUUUAUAUAUAGAUUUUAAUAAUUGAUAAAAAUUAUUUUAAAUUUUUAUUUUUUAUUUAUUUUAUUGGGGAGAUAAUAAAAUUUAUUUAACUUUUAUUUAUUUAAACAUAGAUUUAUGAAUUAAUUGAUCUUUUAAUAUUGAUUAAAAAUUUAAAUUACUUUAGGGAUAACAGCGUUAUUUUUUUUUUAAGUUCAUAUUUAUAAAAAAGAUUGC
rnacentral:rRNA from 1 species